GGCUUUUGUCGACAUUUUAGAAUCAUCCAGAGACAGAGAGAGAGCUUCAGACUGAGAGUGCUAGAACGAUCGCGAGAGAGAGAUUUGAUCCAUCAUCGUUGCAGUCAGAAAGAAAGAGCUGAAAAUAAUUGAGGUUUGGUUUUGUUUUGGAAGAGGUUCCGUUUCAGUUGAGAGAGGGAGAGACAGAAACACUUUGAUCUGCUGCGUUGGUUGCUUUGAGAUACAGAGGUUGGGUUGAAAACGAGUACGAAAUCUCACCAUCUACGGGGACCAGAGAAUCUCACUGUUUUUGCUUCUUUCAUUGGUUAAUCUGAGCAGGUUUAAAACAGAAUGUUAGCUAAAGUGUCAAAGCUCCAGAGUUUAAAGUCAAGGUUAUGGCACCGAGAAUCCAAUGGACAAGAACAAAAAGGUUGUUAGAAGAAAAUCAUGAUGAAGGUCAAGGUACUGAAAAAAGAAUGGAAGAGGUCUGCGAUGGUAAUAGUUUUUCUGCCUCAGUAACUGAAGCUGAAAGGACUUUUUCUACUAGAGGAACAAAUUCCAAAAUUCGAUCAAGAAGCUGGAAACAAACAUCUGAACCAGCAAUCACAAAAAAUAGUCAGCGUACUCAAAAGUGAUGAAGUAGCAAACAAUCUGGAUGAGCAUCGUGACAAACGAGUGAGAAAUAAUCAGAAAGGUCUUACUGUCAUGCAAGGCCAGAGUUUGUUUGCAGAUGGAAAUGUUAAUACAUGCAAUACAAAUGCAGCAGGUCAAUCUUCGUAUUCAUUUGGUCAGGCAUCGUAUCAAAGAAACAGAGAAGGUAAUGGGGUGAGUGUGUGACAGAGUAAAAGCAUGAUCCUAUUUUUUGAGCUUGACUGUAUGGUCCUGAGCUUUGUUUUUGUGUAUAUUUAUGUAAUUUAGGCUGUUGGUUGCUAUUAAUUUUUUUUGUUUUUGUGUUUUUUACUCCUUCAUAUGUAUAUCUGAUUAGUUUGAUGUGCGGUAUAUAGUGUUUUAUCACUUUGGUCAAAUAUCACCUCCUUUUGGGUUAUGUUGAUGACCAUUGUGAUUCCUUUUUACAUCUAAAACGUUCACAAAUAGGAAAUCCUUGGCAGCAUUUGAACAUUUAUAACUAGAUUUUUAUUUUUGUUA